CCUACGGGAGGCAGCAGUGGGGAACUUUCCGCAAUGGGCGAAAGCCUGACGGAGCAACGCCGCGUGAGGGAUGAAGGCCUCUGGGCUGUAAACCUCUUUUAUCAAGGAAGAAGAUCUGACGGUACUUGAUGAAUAAGCCACGGCUAAUUCCGUGCCAGCAGCCGCGGUAAUACGGGAGUGGCAAGCGUUAUCCGGAAUUAUUGGGCGUAAAGCGUCCGCAGGCGGUCUUGUAAGUCUGUCGUUAAAGCGUGGAGCCCAACUCCAUUUCGGCGGUGGAAACUACAAGACUAGAGUGUGGUAGGGGCAGAGGGAAUUCCCGGUGUAGCGGUGAAAUGCGUAGAUAUCGGGAAGAACACCAGUGGCGAAGGCGCUCUGCUGGGCCAUAACUGACGCUCAUGGACGAAAGCUAGGGGAGCGAAAGGGAUUAGAUACCCCUGUAGUCCUAGCCGUAAACGAUGAACACUAGGUGUCGGGGGAAUCGACCCCCUCGGUGUCGUAGCUAACGCGUUAAGUGUUCCGCCGUCGGGUAGGUACGCGACGCAGUGUGAACGUAACGUAAGAAGUAGACGCGUGAGUAACGUGCCGACGACGACGACGAGGGAGGUUAGG
rnacentral:rRNA from 1 species